CAGAAAAUAGUUUAGUUUAGAAUUCUGG
rnacentral:tRNA from 1 species